rnacentral:tRNA from 1 species
AGUAUAGUGGUGCAGCGGAAGCAUGCUGGGCCCAUAACCCAGAGGUUGAUGGAUCAAAACCAUCCUCUGCUA